UACGUAGGGUGCGAGCGUUGCCCGGAUUUAUUGGGCGUAAAGGGCGCGUAGGCGGCUCUGCACGUUCGUUGUGAAAUCGCCCGGCUCAACUGGGCGGGGUCAGCGGAUACGGCAGAGCUUGAGCAAGCUAGGGGGCAAUGGAAUUCCCGGUGUAGUGGUGGAAUGCGUAGAUAUCGGGAGGAACACCUGUGGCGAAAGCGGCUCACUGGACCAUAACUGACGCUGAGGUGCGAAAGCGUGGGGAGCAAACAGG
rnacentral:rRNA from 1 species